rnacentral:rRNA from 1 species
GAUGAACGCUGGCGGCGUGCUUAACACAUGCAAGUCGAACGGGGCACCCCUGAAGGAGUUUUCGGACAACUGAAGGGAAUGCUUAGUGGCGGACGGGUGAGUAACGCGUGAGUAACCUGCCUUGGAGUGGGGAAUAACAGUUGGAAACAGCUGCUAAUACCGCAUGAUGCAGUUGAGUCGCAUGGCUCUGACUGCCAAAGAUUUAUCGCUCUGAGAUGGACUCGCGUCUGAUUAGCUAGUUGGCGGGGUAACGGCCCACCAAGGCGACGAUCAGUAGCCGGACUGAGAGGUUGGCCGGCCACAUUGGGACUGAGACACGGCCCAGACUCCUACGGGAGGCAGCAGUGGGGAAUAUUGGGCAAUGGGCGCAAGCCUGACCCAGCAACGCCGCGUGAAGGAAGAAGGCUUUCGGGUUGUAAACUUCUUUUCUCAGGGACGAAGAAAGUGACGG